GAAGAAGAAGAAAAAAAGAGGAGACUAGAAGCAAAUGGAUUGUUUUGGACAGAA
rnacentral:sRNA from 1 species